GGGCCCGCACAAGCGGUGGAUGAUGUGGUUUAAUUCGAUGCAACGCGAAAAACCUUACCUACCCUUGACAUGCCAGGAACGCUCCAGAAAUGGGGCGGUGCCCGAAAGGGAACCUGGACACAGGUGCUGCAUGGCUGUCGUCAGCUCGUGUCGUGAGAUGUUGGGUUAAGUCCCGCAACGAGCGCAACCCUUGUCAUUAGUUGCUACAUUCAGUUGAGCACUCUAAUGAGACUGCCGGUGACAAACCGGAGGAAGGUGGGGAUGACGUCAAGUCCUCAUGGCCCUUAUGGGUAGGGCUACACACGUCAUACAAUGGCGCGUACAGAGGGUUGCCAACCCGUGAGGGGGAGCCAAUCCCAGAAAGCGCGUCGUAGUCCGGAUUGAAGUCUGCAACUCGACUUCAUGAAGUCGGAAUCGCUAGUAAUCGCGGAUCAGCAUGUCGCGGUGAAUACGUUCCCGGGCCUU
rnacentral:rRNA from 1 species